AUGGAUACGUUAAGCAUUUAAUUUCUUUUCUCGUUUUUUUCUUCUGCUUUUGUUUUACAAAAUUGACGGAUUAAGUUCAUAAAAUUUGCGGAUUAGGUCUAUAAAAAACACACACUUCACUACGUUAAAGGAUACACGUGAACAUCUGAGCCUGAAAUACAUUAUUAUAUAUUUGUACAUGAUUUGUGAUUUAUAUUUUUCAUUUGCGUAAUUUACAAAACGGUACAUCAUUGGUGCAAUUAAAAUGCAAUAAAUGUGGACGAGCGAAGCCCAAACCAGACGUUAAGACACUUGCCACUGCCACUCGUACACAUUUUAUUGAGUCGUUCUGAGGAAUGCACUGAGUAGGUGCACGGCCGAGGCCAAGGCAGACGCAGAGGCAGAGGCAGGGUCUGAGUGACACACAAGCCCACAUUCCUGGGCGGGGGCUGGUUCACGUCCAUCCCGGAGCUGUGAGCGGGAUGCAAGAUGCGGAACGAGAGCGGGGAGCGGUGAGCGGUGAGCGUGGAGAGCGGUGCCAUAAAACACAGCUUUGUGUGACAACGUCGAAGGAUUAAAAAAUGAUUGCGUGACAAGGCAUUUUAUAAUCAUCAUCUGAAUCACUUAAAAACACAUUCAUCGUCGCUGCCGACUUGUACAUAGCCCGUGAGUCGAUGUCAGCCAGCCGGAGACAGAGCCGGGGUGCGAUCCGGAUUGGGGUUAGGCGAACCGCAAGGGCCAAACAAGCCAUAAACUGGCGCAAUAAAAGUGUAUCAAAUUAAGGAAUGAAUUUGAUGUGCAACAGAAGCAGAAGCGACCUUCUUUUUUUUACAACUGUGUCGCGAGUGAUUCAAAGAUUUUGGCUCAGCUGCCACUGAGUCGAAGAUAACAUCCGUUUCACUCAGUUCGGUUCGGUUUCACUCCGAUAUUAUCGAUUUUAAGUGCUUGCAAUCUGUGUGUGUAUGAGUUUAAGCAAUUGUCCGUAGUUACUUCCUCGAAAAGCAGUCUGAGUUGAAUUAUUUUCUGUUCCUUUUUAAGAGUGAGCUACACACAAAUGUGGUGUCUAUAUUCGCAAUAAGAAAUACGUUGAUUAUUUUCACAUUGCUUUAAAAGUACCAUACACACGAUUACUAUAUAAGUUCAAAUAAGGCGUACAAAA
rnacentral:sRNA from 13 species